rnacentral:rRNA from 1 species
CGAUUUGUACGGGGGACAGAUUAACAGGAUUAGAUACCCUGGUAGUCCACGCCCUAAACGAUGUCUACUAGUUGUCGGGUCUUAAUUGACUUGGUAACGCAGCUAACGCGUGAAGUAGACCGCCUGGGGAGUACGGUCGCAAGAUUAAAACUCAAAGGAAUUGACGGGGACCCGCACAAGCGGUGGAUGAUGUGGAUUAAUUCGAUGCAACGCGAAAAACCUUACCUACCCUUGACAUGGAAGGAAUCCCGGAGAGAUUCGGGAGUGCUCGAAAGAGAACCUUCACACAGGUGCUGCAUGGCUGUCGUCAGCUCGUGUCGUGAGAUGUUGGGUUAAGUCCCGCAACGAGCGCAACCCUUGCCAUUAGUUGCUACAUUCAGUUGAGCACUCUAAUGGGACUGCCGGUGACAAACCGGAGGAAGGUGGGGAUGACGUCAAGUCCUCAUGGCCCUUAUGGGUAGGGCUUCACACGUCAUACAAUGGUACAUACAGAGGGCUGCCAACCCGCGAGGGGGAGCUAAUCCCAGAAAGUGUAUCGUAGUCCGGAUUGUAGUCUGCAACUCGACUACAUGAAGUUGGAAUCGCUAGUAAUCGCGGAUCAGCAUGUCGCGGUGAAUACGUUCCCGGGUCUUGUACACACCGCCCGUCACACCAUGGGAGCGGGUUUUACCAGAAGUGGGUAGCCUAACCGCAAGGAGGGCGCUUACCACGGUAGGAUUCGUGACUGGGGUGAAGUCGUAACAAGGUAACCAAUCU